UACGUAGGGUGCAAGCGUUGUCCGGAAUUAUUGGGCGUAAAGAGCUCGUAGGCGGUCUGUCGCGUCGGCUGUGAAAUCCCGAGGCUCAACCUCGGGUCUGCAGUCGAUACGGGCAAACUAGAGUAUUGCAGGGGAGACUGGAAUUCCUGGUGUAGCGGUGAAAUGCGCAGAUAUCAGGAGGAACACCGGUGGCGAAGGCGGGUCUCUGGACAAUAACUGACGCUGAGGAGCGAAAGCGUGGGGAGCGAACAGG
rnacentral:rRNA from 1 species